UACGUAGGUGGCGAGCGUUGUCCGGAUUUACUGGGCGUAAAGCGUCCGCAGGCGGUCUGUUAAGUUAGGUGUGAAAGGUUGGGGCUCAACCCCAAAGCGGCACCUAAUACUGGCAGGCUUGAGUCUCGGAGAGGAGAACGGAACUGCACGUGUAGCGGUGAAAUGCAUUGAGAUGUGCAGGAACACCAGUGGCGAAAGCGGUUCUCUGGACGAGUACUGACGCUGAGGGACGAAAGCUAGGGGAGCGAACGGG
rnacentral:rRNA from 1 species